rnacentral:lncRNA from 1 species
GAUCCUGUAAGCGUAGUCAGCAAAUUGAGAAAAUAUUGGCAAGCAGAUAUUAUCUCAGUAGGGCCUGCGAAAGACCCUGAGCCUGAGAAGAAAGAGGAGGCUAAGAAAGAGGAACCCAAGAAAGAGGAGGAGGCAAAGAAAGAGGAACCUAAGAAGGAAGAAGCUAAGCCAGAGGAAGCCAAGAAAGAAGAACCCAAAAAAGAAGAGGAGAAGAAGGAAGAAGAGAAAAAGAAAGAAGCAGCACCACCACCAGACCCAGUUAUGGAGCUUGUCAAGGCCUACAGAGCUUACAAUCCUCAAAUGACCACAUAUUACUAUGCCCAAAGCAUAGAAGAGAAUCC